CGCACCGGCCGGGCGGCGCCGCGCACCUGUGAUCCUGCCCACGCGGCCGCCCAGCCUCCUGCCCGCCUCUGCCGCCGCGUGCGCGCCCAGGCUGUGGCCGAUCAGAUUCAACGUUGGGCAAGUACUGAACUUCUUUGUGCCUUAGUUUGCUCAUCUAUAAAAUGGGAACAUAGCUAUACCUUCCUCACUCUACCUGCACGGUGUCAGGUUCAUGAAACAUCAUCCGGAGAACGGGCCCUUAGGCUUCCCCAGAUGCUGAAGAGAUCUCUGGCCCCGAAAAGAUGAAGAACUCAUGCACCCAGAAGUACCGGGCUUGAAGGCGAGGUUCAGCUCCGUGGAGCCCUGAGGGGCAUCUCAAGCCCCUCAGGAAGGAUUUAUACUUCCACACCUCUACCCAACUGAGGGGCUUCUCUCCUUCCACUGCCUGGUGCAGAAAGAAGACAGACCCUCCCAGGGAACACCAGGCCUGGGCUUCUCCAUAAAUGCUGCUUUCCCAGGAACAGGCUGCUGAUGCAGGGAAGCUCCUGAGGUUCUAUGCACAAGUGUGUGUGAAUGUGUUAGUUUCUGGUUUGGGCGUCCAUAGAUUUCAUUACAUGUGCAUAAUGGUUUAUGAUCCUGAGAGCUAGGAUGGCUGCGGGUCUAACAUUGGUGGGGAAGCAUCACCUGCAAAGUUUCAAGGCAGUGCAUUUUUCCUUAGACAACCAUGUGAAGGGUCCAACAUGGGCGCCCACAUCUGCCCACCUUACGGCGUUUCCGUCCCACACUUACUUGGAAGUUGUUGGGAUUCUCAUUUGUGUACAGAAGAAAGCGAGUGUUGAUGUCCUUGGGAUUCCAGGGAAAUAACUUGAAAGGCCGCUGAAGGGUCCCACUCCAUGGUUUGUCAUCGGGAAAGCAGCCAAGAUGUCCAUAACAGAUCUCCUUUCCUGGGGCAGGAAGAGCAACCAACAGGGCACUCGUGGGGUUCUGGAAAAGAGCACUGUAUUCUCAACUACACAAGAGGAUUCUUCAGGAUGAGCCCGGGCUGGCUAUGGCCAACGCUGGUCUUCAUCUUUGCCAGUCAUUGUUCCCCAAACUUCCUGGUUAUAGGGAGUCACCUGGGGGCUGGGAGUGACUGUGUGUCAUGUACACCAUUGUCCCCAGGCUCCUCCCUCAGAGGUUCUGAUUCAGAGGAUCUAGGGUGGGGUGCUGGGAAUAGCAUGCGUAAUGCUGUUUGACCCUUAUCAUCCCACCUGUGGGGGAAUCACUGAGAAUUCCUGGGACCCUUCUGCCUUAAAACUACUUCUUCCAGGAAACUCCCAGAUGGCCUUGGAUGUAUAUUCAUCAAGCAUCAGGUAUUUAUCAGGUGUGAUAUCUGUGACACGGUACUUCUUGAGUCACCUUCCUCUCUCCAUUACAUCAACUACCGGCCAUGCAUUCGUGGGUAGCUGCCCAGUUCACAUAACUUCAUGUCACCCUUUUGCACACACUUUUGCCCCAAAUUAUUCUCUGCCAUUUCAGAUUUUCCCUGUUGUUCUUUGGAAAGGUAGAUUUUUAAAGAACAGAGAUGAUUUAUUUUUGCAUCAGUACAUGCAACUAGCCGAUGGACCCAAGUGACCAUAAGUGCCCGGCCUUUCUCUAAUCUACAACACGAACAUUUCCACAAUGAAUUGUCACUGAGGAUGACAUAAUCGCAUCUGGGGGAUUGCAAUGGGUCUCUCUUCUAGGCUUCCUCACCUCCUAAACUGGUGUUGCCAAAUGUUGACCAUUCAUUGAAAAGCUGGUAAGAGUUAACACUUGUUUCCUGUGUGCCAGAUAGCAUGCUAGCACUUUACCAGGAUUAUCCCAUUUAAGACUCAAAACAGCCCCACGAGUAAGGAGUUUGUAUUAUUACACCCAUUUUACAGAUGAGGAAACCAAGGCAUAGAGAGACAGAGCAAGUAGCUCGAGGUCACAGCCAGUGGUGAAGCCAGGAUUUAAACCUGUAAAGUUUAAUUGGGAACAUAGCUAGGAUAGCUAGGUGCUGAGGAGAUAUGGAGACAGAUCAGAUUAAACCCUGCCCUGAAAAAGAGAGAGAGAGAGAGAGAGAGAGAGAGAGGAAAUCUAACAGGGAAGGAGUAAUGAUGGAGUGAAAUUCACACUGGAAAGACAAAAGAUGAAAAUGAUGCUUGCCUCUGGUGGCAAAUGCAGGG